GAAAUUAGACAGCAUUAAGAUAUAGCCAGGAGGAGAAGAAUACAGUUCCUGAUGUUCUCUCAACCUCUUUUCCAACGACAGUAAAGAAGACAAGUUACCUUCCUUUUUCAUAUGAAUCUUGAUACUUCAGCUGUGAUACUUAGACAGGACCACUCAAGACAGACCACUGGUGCUCUCAUAUGUAACAGCAACUCCAUGUGGACUACACUGACUUCCAGUGGAGAUGCUGUUACUUUUGAUAGCCUCCCAAAGACUGCGGAGCAGGUGCUACUGGAAAUGCGUUCAUCCAGCACUCAAGCUAACAAAACAGCUUGUGUUUUGAAAUACAAUGACAGACAUGGAAUGAAUGACUCAUGCCCUAAUUAGAAUAAAAUCACUGUUACUGAAGACAGCCCAAUGCGCUGGUCAGAAUUUUCUGUGCUGAUACACAUAAUUUCAUUUAAAAAAAGAAAGUGCUUUUAAGUAAUUUUAAAUAAGACCAUGGCCAAACGAACAGAGGAGCAAAUAAAGACGUAUGGCCAUGCAAGGUUACUUUAAUAACAAAGGUAACUUUACUAGUGACAGAAAUACCAUGCUUAAAGGUAUUAGAUAAGAAGAGAGUUUUUUUCUUUUAAACUCUCUUUUGGGGAAAAGAAAUUCAGCAGUUCUUUAAGAAUCUUAUGCAUCCCCCAUAAAUGCUAUGAACAAACAUCUCUGUCAUUUAUUUAUCCUGAAAUGUAUCAAUACUGACAAAAAAUAAAAUGACAGCACUAGUCAUUUCUACAAAUAACUACAGACACUACCUAGUUUACAAGUUGCUAACACUUGAGAAGAACACAUUUCAGAGUGACCUACAGCAAGACUCUUCCUGAUUUAACAGCAGCUGAUGUCAUUUGGAAUGUCCCACAAAAAAAAGUAAA